rnacentral:RNase_P_RNA from 2 species
CGAGUCGGCCGAACAACCGCCGCCGUCGCAAGACGGGGGAGGAAAGUCCGGGCUCCAUAGGGCAGAACGCCAGGUAACGCCUGGGAGGCGCGAGCCUACGGCCAGUGCAACAGAGAGCAAACCGCCGAUGGCCCGCGCAAGCGGGAUCAGGCAAGGGUGAAACGGUGCGGUAAGAGCGCACCGCGAGUCCAGCAAUGGACCGGCACGGUAAACCCCGUUCGGAGCAAGGCCAAAUAGGGUGGGACGCGGUCGCAAGAUCGCAACGCGUGGCCCACGCGCUCACCGGGUAGGCUGCUGGAGCUGCACGGCGACGUGCAGCCUAGAGGAAUGGUUGUUGAGGGGUCGCAAGACUCCAGACAGAACCCGGCUUAUAGGCCGACUCGCUUU